ensembl:lncRNA
GUGUGUGUGUGUGUUACUCACUGUGCUAUGGCCCGUAGGUUACUCAGUAUGUAGUCUGUGUGUGUUACUCACUGUGCUAUGGCCCGUAGGUUACUCAGUAUGUAGUGUGUGUGUGUUACUCACUGUGCUAUGGCCUGUAGGUUACUCAGUAUGUAGUCUGUGUGUGUGUGUGUGUGUGUGUGUGUGUGUGUGUGUGUGUGUGUGUGUGUGUGUGUGUGUGUGUUACUCACUGUGCUAUGGCCUGUAGGUUACUCAGUAUGUAGUCUGUGUGUGUGUGUGUGUGUGUGUGUGUGUGUGUGUUACUCACUGUGCUAUGGCCCGUAGGUUACUCAGUAUGUAGUGUGUGUGUGUGUGUGUGUGUGUGUGUUACUCACUGUGCUAUGGCCUGUAGGUUACUCAGUAUGUAGUGUGUGUGUGUGUGUGUGUGUGUGUGUGUUACUCACUGUGCUAUGGCCUGUAGGUUACUCAGUAUGUAGUGUGUGUGUGUGUGUGUGUGUGUUACUCACUGUGCUAUGGCCUGUAGGUUACUCAGUAUGUAGUGUGUGUGUGUGUGUGUGUGUGUUACUCACUGUGCUAUGGCCCGUAGGUUACUCAGUAUGUAGUCAGAGACGGCAGGUAUCAGCUGUUUCACCGUGUCGUCCAGCAGGUCACACUCCAGGACGUACAGCAGGCCGUGCAGCGCUCCCAUACGGCUGGGGAGGUGGGUGCUGUGCAGGGUCAGCUCCACCACCCGACACACAGGUUCAGAGGUCGCCUUGUCCUGAACACACACACAGGUUUGUAAGCACAC